AAAAGGAAGAAGAGCAGUUCUGUGGCUAGAGCAGAUUCUUCGAAGUGAGUUGCAGUACAGGCGUGUGCGUGUGACUGUGAAAAAUCUGUGGAAUUGUGAACCGGAAAGCAUUUCAAUACCGCGUUUAACCUCGAUUAACAGCGAAUUUGCCAUCAUUUGAUACGAAAUUCUACCAGGAUCAGUAGCAAGUAAUGGUCGGUUCACGCGUAUAUGUUGGCGGUUUGCCGUACGGCGUCAGGGAACGCGAUUUGGAGCGUUUUUUCAAAGGUUAUGGCAGGACAAGAGAUAUUCUGAUAAAGAAUGGCUAUGGAUUCGUUGAAUUUGAAGACUAUCGUGAUGCUGAUGACGCCGUAUAUGAGUUGAACGGGAAGGAGCUGCUGGGAGAAAGAGUUGUUGUGGAACCUGCAAGGGGUACUGCACGUGGUCCCAGCGGAUACCGUGAAAGAGAUCGAUAUGACCGAGAUCGUCGUGGUGGAAGGUAUGACAAAUAUAAAAGCAAUUCCAGGAACAGUUCCCGCUAUGGACCGCCGCUUCGCACCGAAUAUCGUCUGGUCGUGGAGAAUUUAUCAACCCGUGUCAGCUGGCAGGCGGCUGCCCUUAUUUCAUGAUGAGAGAGGUCAUAGAACUAGGGUUUACACAUUAUACUGUGUGGUAGCGCCUGUUGAAUGCAACACUUCAUAUGACUAGGGAGCGAAUGAUGGGAAGAGAACGUGCACGAUCAAUCGGAUGAGGUCGUCAACAAUCGUUACAGUGAAUCAACAUCGUUCAACUUCGUGAAGGACGAUAAGCCCUUAUGGAAGAUGCCUUUUGGUUGGUCAAGAAUAGGAAUCAGCACGACACUACCGAUCAGUUAGUGCUAAAUGCGACAAAAAUCAUUACCAGACCAUGGAGAUUGAUUCGAUGACGGAUGAUGGAUGUAUGGCUCUAUCCUCUAAACCACCUGACGGAAAUCGGAUGAAGAUGAAGCGUAGUUCACAAUUUCAAAGCAUAAAAGAAAUUAUCAUCUUACUUCGACAAAUUAUUCCGGAAUCGAUGCAAGCUUUAAAGGAAUUUAUGCUAAGAAGUCGAUAAGCGUUGAUACGAAGAUGAAAAAAGAAGCCCAGCGAGGACAAAUCAUCGGGAUGAACUCGCCCUGUACAGCACACAUCUGUCACAUUCUCCGGAUACAGAAUGGAUAAUAUUGCAGCGCCCCCAAAGUUCUGUGGCCCAACGUAGCCAACAAAUCAGAAAAAUUUGUGCGAGCCCAAGGAUCGAUCGCUGCCCCUUGGUCUGGUCAUCAGAUGAACGUAGGAAGGGAUGACGUUUUGAAAUGGCUCAAACCGUGACCGAUGAACUCUCACACGAACGAUUCAAUCGCAAUAAGACAGCGCAGUCAGAAUUUGGUUAAGGGGAUCCUCGUCUUGGCGGCAUAUCGAAUUCUACUUGCUUCAAUCUCCAACGCAACGGGGUUUAGACGAAUUGGAAAGACUGGAGUCGGGACUGUUCAGCUUACAAGAUGAUUUUUCCCACAACCGGUUACCUUUUUGUGUGCAUAAUCGCAGUUCUUCGACAGCAAUAGGUCACAUGCACCGAUAAGGAAUCUCGGCACAUAAUUGUGCUCUCCAUAUUCGCCCUUUGGGACGAAAGCUUCCGGACAAUUGCAACGCCAGAUGACGACGAUGAAAAGGAUGUCUAUCUUACACGUUCUAAUGAUGGCAAUGAGCGUACUCGUCCGUGGUUCUACCCGAAAUUAUCCGGUGCGGUGUGGUGCACCUGCAGUCUAUUGAGGCCCUUAAACUAAUGUCGGAACUUGGUGUAACCUGGACCAAGGAAGGGAGAGACCCUUCUACGCGCGAGUGAAGAUGCGGCUCGGCCCCACUUGGAUAUGUAACGAGCGCGAACCGGCGAUGCCAUCGGGACCUGUCCAUCCGAACGUCGUAGGCGUAUGCUCUAUUCCUUUUUUCUUUUCUAUUUUCAAGCUUUGACUGCUUUCUUCCCCCGCCAAAUGCGUGUUUCAAUCCAUUUCAUCCACUCGAGAACAUGGACAUUCAUCGAUUGUGGCUGGAGAGAAGAUGACACUAGCAUGAUGAGGUUUAGUCAGCUGAGAUGAUACCUGUUUAUCAAACUUCGUAUCAUCGUCUAUACUUUUGACCAAUGGCAAUGGUGCAGCCGCCAAACAUUUCUUCCUUCGCGAUGUUUUGGAAGAUGAGCGUUUCUUGAUGGUUCUGCGGUGAGCUGCAAGCGGAGGAAACAGCCGAUCGCGUAGUGACUUCGUAAUUCUCCGGGCAUUGCUCUGAUGACCCUUUCGUUCAUCGGAUGCCUUUAUUCGCGCUGCUGGGUCUCGUCGAUCGCAUUCCCUUCGAAGAAGACAUAUUCCACAUCAGAAGUCAGACAUUAUGUGAAGGACUGAAUCUCCACCCCCUUUGGCAAUUAGCGAUGGUUGCAGCACAGUGACGGCCAUGUCCCGCUCCAUAUCCACACUAAACACACACAUGCAUGAUGAGAGGAGAGGUCAAAUCUGUGGUUCUGUGAACAUUAUAAAGGAAAGACGAUUCGUUGACUGUCCCAAAUACCAAAACUGUGCCCGGCCGCUAAG